UGGAGGAUGCUCUGAGUUCUCUGUCAGGUUUCUCUCCAGGUUUUGUCCAGGGUUUUGUUCCAAGAAAACCUCAGAGUGUUUUGCUUCUCUUCCUUCUUCUGUCUGUUAUGUUUCAAUGAAACUCUAGUAUUUAUAGGCUAAUAUUGGUAGCUUAGUGGGCUUUCGAGAGAUGUCCAAGUUUGAGAUUUUUUUCUUUUUAUUUAUUUAUUUAUUUAAUUAAUUAAAUUUUUUUUUCCGUUUUUCUUUUUCCGUUUUUAUUUAUUUUUUGUUUAUUUUUUUUUUAAAUAAAGUUUCUUGGAUCUGAUUCUGACUGACAUGAUGAAAUGUAAUAUGAAAUGUUAAAUGACCUAAAAAUGAAUGCAUGAAUGGGGAGGGCAAAUUUUGGGGUGU
rnacentral:lncRNA from 1 species